GAACAAUUUGCCUUCAUGUGGGAAGGGCGGCAAUGGGCUCUCACUGUCCUUCCACAGGGAAACCUCCACAGCCCACCGUCUGUCAUGGACUUGUAGCCCAGGACUUGGCAGCACCGGAGAAACCAUCAACAGUGCAGCUGUUCCAUUAUAUUGAUGAUAUGCUAAUGUCUGGUUCUCUUUCAGAUCUAGAAGGCGCAGCACCUAGGCUGCUGCAACAUGUACAGCAGAAAGGAUGGGCUGUCAACAGCACCAAGAUUCAGGGACCUGAUUUGUCAGUCAAAUUCUUGGGGGUUGCCUGGUUGGGGAAGACUGAAGUUACCCCAGAAGCAGUCAUAGAUGAAGUCCAGGCCUUCCCUAUCCCUGCAAUGUGGCGUUGUUACAGGAGUUUUGAGUCUUUCAGGCUACUCGAGUGUUUAUCUUGCACUUGGCACAAGUUCUGAAGCCCUUAAACUGUUUCGUUUAUAAGAGCAUCGGGUGGGACUGGGAUGAGACAUUUGUGUCUGCUUCUACCGCUUCGAGGAAACUCCACCCGCCGCCGGUACCCGCCGCGGUCAGAGCCGUCGCGACCACACACCGCGUCUCCUCGCGGGUCCUCGAGCGAAGGCGACGGGUGGCCCUCCACAGAGAUUCUUGAGAUCGGAGUCGCAGAGAGCGCCGCAUUUGCAGAACACGUCCUCAAUGUCCUUGCUUUGCAUGUCUGGAGAGAGUGGUGUGCUAACGUGGAUACAUCCGUUUGGUCAUCCAUUCUCCUACUGAUGAACAUUUGAGUUUUUCCAGUUAAGUUCCCCCAGAUAACAGGUAGUUUUUCCUUGCACUGACCCUGAAGCCUCCUAGAAGACUGCAUUUUAAAGCCCAGGCACCUCUUCAGUUCCAGGGUCCUCUGGGUUUUGCUGCUUGAUCCUGUAUGGAUCUUGGGAAGCAGCUGAUGGGACAUCUUUCUCCACUGUCGCGGCUGUCUGUACCUGACCCAGAGAGCAUUCCCUCCAAAGGCGAGGAUGAAUUCCACCACACCUGUGACAUUUCAGCCCAUGAGGAGACCGCUGCGCAUAGGAAGGACACCUCACUGGCACGGAAAGAAUCUCAGCUUUCCUGGGGCUCCGAUCAGCAGAUGGGCUCUGGCAAGGACCCGGGGGCCAUCUUCUAUGCCUCACUUGCCCCCCUAAAAUACUUCAGCCCUGAAGACUCCAUCUAUGUCAAUUGCCCCAGUUGGAAGCCCAAGCCUGAACCCGCUCUGGCUGUGGAAUAUGCCAGCACGGCUGGAAGCAGACCCCAGCCCUCCAAGUCGGCCACCCUCCAAGUGGAGCCCAGGAUCUGAGGGCGGAAUUCACUGGGCGGAGAGCACUUACCAAACGCCUACAGGGCACAGGGUGGCUCUACCAGCAAAGGGCUGACUGCAGUGUGGCAACAGUUGCAAACCAGCAAGGGCUCGUGCCUCCCUGCGGAGAGGGGUGGAAAGGACAGCCAAGGAAAGGAGAGCCUUACCGAUUCAGAGGGGAGAAGCUUUGAGUCUGAGGGCUGCCACGGGCAGCCUGUGGGGACCCUACAAGGGGUUUCUGGACCCUUCCUCAGGGUCUGGGAGGAAAGCCAAGGGGCCAGAGCCCACCGAGGUAGGGUCUGGGGCCCAGUGCCUCUGAUUAACCCAAUCUUCAUCUCUCUGUGACCCUCCCUUCCUUCCUGUCCAGGGCUGUGAAAUCCUGACAGAUUGUGCAAGUUGCUCUGGUGGUGACUCUCUCUGUCUGAGAGCCUCCUCCCUUCACUGUCCUCUCAGAGCCUCUAAGCCAGGCAGAGAAAGUCUGUCCCCCCACCCCGCUCCUCCUCUCCUUACAGCCCCCCAGUGCUAACUGAUUCUCACAGAUGACCCUGCCAGGAUGUGGAUGGGGGUUUCCCCUGACCCUCAGCCUCGCUGAGCAGGGCGGUGGGGUGAUUGCUUCCCUGUGGGAGCACAGCUCCGUCCUGGGCUCCUCCGCCUUCCAUGGAAACCGUGACCCACUCUGCAAACUGAGUCUCGGUCAGACACAAUGGGCUGAGGGGCACCUCCUGCUCUGCUAAAGUACACUUUCAUGGGGCCCUUCUGGAGACAGGGCCCCUUUCUGUUCUGUGCCCUAAGGGGUGUCUGAGCUCUGGGAACUCUGGAUUGUUGCAGGCAGACGGGUGGUGUCCUGCCACAUCAUGGGGAAGAUGGCUUGGAACUGCAGAUUCAUCACUUCUCAAGAGUGGCCUUAAAGGUCGUUGAAUCCAACGGGCAGUGGGGUGCCAGAACCGCCCUGUAAAAUCCCAGUGAGUCAUGCAGUCUCUGCUCUCAUCUCUCCGAGGACAGAGAACUCACUGCCUCCUACUCAAGCAGCUCAUUUGUGAAUAUUUUUGUCAGACAGGACAUUGCUUUCUCUCAGUCACAAUGAGACAUCAGCUUUGUCCAUAGGAUGGGACCGGAGGGUCAGGCUGCAGCAUGGCCCGAAAGGAAGUGAGGGGUCAGAGAGGAGAAGGGUGGGCGGGCUGGGGUCUGGCAGGCCUCUGUUUUAGGAUGAGGUCUUCCUCUGGGAGGAGGGAGAGGUAAGCACUUGUCACUUGUGACAUCUCUGCUGUCUUCAUCUACUUCCCAGGUUCCCAGGGUUGAGAAUGUGGUGUGUCCCCAGUCUGGAGCUGCAUGGGGACACCCAGGAACAACCCCCUGGGUUGGGGUGGGAAGUGGUGGCAGGGGCAGAGCAGGAUGCUCUGAGCUUCAUCUUUGUGCCUCAGGUCUCUGCCCCGUCCUCCUGCCUGAGUCCUCCUGCAGCCUGGAUCUGAUUGCUACUGGCUGGGCAAUUGCUGCACCCUGGCCUCCCACCCAACAGGACCUUGCUCUGAGGUCAUUGGCAUUGAACUACUGCAUCAUUUGACUGCUGGUGCUUUGUAAUUCUAGGCUCCUGACAGAAUCUUUUAGGGUUCCUGGACCCAAUUCCAUGUGUGGAGUUGGGGUGCACAGGUUCCCCACACAGGACACCAAGCAAUUCUCCAGCACCAGCAGGGUGUCUGAGACUGCAACUCAGUUCUGACCCUACCUGCCUGGAGACAGCACCAGAUUCCCCAGGUGAAGGGCUCUGUUCUUGCCCGUCACAAGCCCCAGGCUGUUACCUGUGCUUCUGACCAACCAGCUACAGAUUGGAGGUUCCCACGACCUCCCACUAGGUUCUAUUACUUUGCUAGAGCUGCUCACAUAACUCAGGAAGACACUUAUGUUUACCUGUUUAACAAAGGAUACUGUAAAGGAUACAAAUUAACAGCCAGAGGAAGAGCUAUAUAGGGCAAGAGCCCAAUUAAAGGAGCCUCUAUGCUCAUGGAGCUUGGGGCCUGGCUCAGUAGCACUUGGAAACGUUCUGUUUCCCCAAGGGUGGGAGCUCUCUGAUAAGGAAACAGGGUAAGAAAGGGCCAAAACGCUGUUCUCAUGGGUUUUCAUGAGGGCUUCAUUGCAUAGCUAUGAUGGACUAAGUCACUGACCACAGGCUGGCCCAACCUCCAGCCCCUCUUCCUUCUUCGCUCCCUGGAGGCUGGGGCCUGGGGGCUGCGAGGUCCCUCCCUUUAAUCACAUGGCUGGUCCCCCUGGUAACCAGCCCUGCCCUUGGGUGGGCUCCAAAGGUCAGCUUCAUCAAUAACAAGACACCCAUUGCACCUUUGUGGCUCUGAAGUAUUUUCAGGAACUGAGCCUGAAGACCAGAUAUCUAAGAAAUAUAUUUCUGUCAUCUGAAUCACCAAAUAUAUAUUUCUUACCAAUCAUUA